rnacentral:tRNA from 1 species
GCGGAUGUGGUGGAAUGGUAGACACGCACGCUUGAGGGGCGUGUGGCGAAAGCCAUGCGAGUUCGACUCUCGCCAUCCGCA